GUUGAAGUCUUUAGUAGUAAAUUGGCCUCGUUUUUCUCUGCCUUGCUAGUGGAAUGCCCCUCCACAGGGGAACCUGAACCAGCUUCUUUGUACUACAGUUCCUCCUGGCACCUGCGCGUCCGAAAGAACGCAGCCCGCGCACUUGCACAGAAUAAGUAGGAAAUUCUCUCCACCCCAGUAACUUUCGUGACCACACUUGUUUCACAGCAUACUUACUGCAGCGCAGAGGUACAGGAAGUUGACUUACUCACCUACUUCUGUGUGCGCGGCGGCCAUGAAACAGGCCUAAGAGUGCCAGUCGUCAGCGUGAUGGAACCAUGUUUCCCAGCAGUCUGGCAGACAUGCCGACAUCGACCUGCUGUUGUGCCCAAACAGGUAAAGACUUUUCUGAACUUGUGUACUCAUCCUCUCUUGCACUUGACGUCCUCUACUUCCCUGUCCCUGGGAUUCCCACCUCAGCUGUCUGAACCACGCUCCUUUUUCGUCGUCAUCUCACUUCUGACUUUUCCUCCUCUUGUCUCUCUCCUUGUUCUCUGUGCUCUCCUGGGUCAUCUGAUUGCUCUUGUAGCGUUAAUAGCCCCUUGCAUGCUGACCAGUCUUAACUUCUGUGUCUAGUCUGGAUUCUCCCCAGAGCUCUAAGUCCACAUCCUCUGUUCCAGAUAGCCCAACUCAGUGUCCAUGGGCCCCUCGGCCUCACUGCUCCUCCCUGGCGCCUUCCCUCCUCUGUCCCAGCCCUCUUCCACUCCAGCAGUCGCUCCCUCACCCGUCUCAGCCACUUGCUCGGGUUGGAAUCUGGAAGUGGUCUUUGAGUCCUCUCGCUCCGUAAUCCUCCGUGGGCAGCCACCAAGCCCUGACGAGUUUACCUCAGGAGUGUUUCUCAACCAGCUUUUCUCUGUUCCUGCUUCUGCCGUCCUCGGGCAGGCCCUGCUCUCUCUCACCUAAACCCCUGCCAACCAGCUGCUCUACCUGCCUCCUGUCUCCCUUCCACAGGGCGCUCCUGAACUUUCCCAGCAUCUCUCCCCUGUUCAAACUUGAGGGCCUCUGGGGCCUCGGGAUGGACCAGCUCCUCGGCAAGGCGUUCCUCAACCUUCUGGCCUCACUUUCUGUCCUCCCGCCUCCCCCCAGACCUACACACCCUGCCAGUUCAUACCUUGGUUCUUCGCUGUUCAUUUUCCUCCUCCUGACAUGGCCUUUCCCACCUCCUCCGACUUUAAAACAGCCCAGGUGAUAGUCAGGGAGGCUUUCUUUGGAAGGGUGUUUCCAUACGUGCCUCUGAACUGCCGGCAUUGUUCUUACAUUAUGAUGAAAGUGGCUGUUAAUGGCUCUGCUUUCCCACAUUCGUUCAUUCUUUGAGGGCAGGGACAGUGUCUCGGUUUGCCUCCUGUUCCCAGAGGGAACCUGGGCCAACCCGGUGCACAGCGGGCCCUCCCCGAGCACACACGUUUGGCGAUGCUGUCAGCCGGGUGUCCUCCUCCACUCCUCUGCAUGUAAAGUCCAGAAUCCUUAGCUGGGCUUUAAGGAGACAAGGCAAAGCAGAAAAAAUGAGAGCUUUGAAAUCAGACACACCUGGAUUUGCAUAUUUGUUGCACCAUUUUUAGCUAAGUGAUCAUAGCAUGUAGCAGGUGCUCAGCGAACGGCCUCAUCGAUCACUGUUCUCUCUGUCCAUCCGUCCUGCUGCAUGCCGACCCUCCACCCGGUGCAGCCUCAUAGACGUUUCCUGGUUGGUGAGUCCACCCCUUCCUUUUCCAAGCCUUCCUCCCGCUCUUCAGAUCCUGCCUCCGGGCGCACCUGAGAGCCUCCAGGUAGAAAUGAUCCGCUCCCUGGGCUCCACAGCAGGUAACAGUCCUUGCUACACAGUUAGCUGGUUUUGUUGUAAUUGCUGAUAGAUAGUUCCUGGAUUGGAAGCUUCUGGAAGGCAAGGAUGUCUCUUCUACUUUUCUGUAGCUCUCCCUGCUUCUGAGAGCUUGGGGCCUGGAAGAUACGGA
ensembl:lncRNA